rnacentral:rRNA from 1 species
GACGAACGCUGGCGGCGUGCCUAAUACAUGCAAGUAGAACGCAGUUGCGAACGGGUGAGUAACGCGUAGGUAACUGCCUCAUAGCGGGGGAUAACUAUUUGAAACGAUAGCUAAUACCGCAUACUGUUAGAUGGACCUGCGUUGUAUUAGCUAGUUGGUGAGGUAAAGGACCAACAAGGCGACGAUACAUAGCCGACCUGAGAUGGUGAUUGGCCAAACUGGGAAUGGGAAACGGCCCAGACUCCUACGGGAGGCAGCAGUAGGGAAUCGUAGGACAUGGACGGAAGGCUGACCGAGCAACGCCGCGUGAGUGAAGAAGGUUCUCGGAGCGUAAAGCUCUGUUGUUAGAGAAGCGUUAACUAACCAGAAAGGGACGGCUAACUACGUGCCAGCAGCCGCGGUAAUAC